AAGAAUCUGGAGACAGGUGCUGCAUGGCUGUCGUCAGCUCGUGUCGUGAGAUGUUGGGUUAAGUCCCGCAACGAGCGCAACCCUUGCCUUUAGUUGCCAGCAGUUCGGCGUGGGCACUCUAAAGGGACUGCCGGUGUUAAACCGGAGGAAGGUGGGGAUGACGUCAAGUCCUCAUGGCCUUUAUGACCAGGGCUACACACGUACUACAAUGGCCGAUACAAAGGGCAGCGACACUGCGAGGUGAAGCCAAUCCCGUAAAAUCGGUCUCAGUCCGGAUUGGAGUCUGCAACUCGACUCCAUGAAGUUGGAAUCGCUAGUAAUCGUGGAUCAGCAUGCCACGGUGAAUACGUUCCCGGGCCUU
rnacentral:rRNA from 1 species